rnacentral:misc_RNA from 1 species
GUGAAUCAUCGAAUUUUUGAACGCACACUGCACUCUCUUCGAUGCGGAUGAGUAUUUGAGUGUCAGCCUAAAAAAAAUCGACAUACUCGCUGUUUCGCGGUGACAUGCGGCGGAAAUUGUUUCAUAUUAAACUUUUCGGUUUUAAGCGGCUUAAAAUUUGCUUUACGAUUCCACGAACGUUUCUAAGAUUUACUUACACGUUUAAGGUAUCGAUCUUUAUUAGACGUGGCCGUUGCAUCGGGUCGC